AACUCCUACGGGAGGCAGCAGUGGGGAAUAUUGGACAAUGGGGGCAACCCUGAUCCAGCAAUGCCGCGUGUGUGAAGAAGGCCUGCGGGUUGUAAAGCACUUUCAGUGGGGAGGAAAAGCCUGGGGCUAAUAUCCCUGGGUCUUGACGUUACCCACAGAAGAAGCACCGGCUAACUCCGUGCCAGCAGCCGCGGUAAU
rnacentral:rRNA from 1 species